rnacentral:rRNA from 1 species
CUACGAGGGGCACCAGUGAGGAAUAUUGCACAAUGGGGGGAACCCUGAUGCAGCAACGCCGCGUGGAGGAUGACGCAUUUCGGUGUGUAAACUCCUUUUAUAUGUCAAGAAAAUGACGGUAGCAUAUGAAUAAGCACCGGCUAACUCCGUGCCAGCAGCCGCGGUAAUACGGAGGGUGCAAGCGUUACUCGGAAUCACUGGGCGUAAAGGACGCGUAGGCGGGUUGGAAAGUCAGGUGUGAAAUCCUACAGCUUAACUGUAGAACUGCACUUGAAACUUCUAAUCUAGAGUAUGGGAGGGGGAGAUGGAAUUAGUGGUGUAGGGGUAAAAUCCGUAGAUAUCACUAGGAAUACCUAAAGCGAAGGCGAUCUCCUGGAACAUUGCUGACGCUAAGGCGUGAAAGCGUGGGGAGCAAACAGGAUUAGAUACCCCUGUAGUC